AAGUAAUUGUUUAAUUGUUUGGUGAGUCAGGAGGAGACUGAUUCUUAGCUUGAGCACUCAAGUGUGAUGUGAGAGGCUGGGUUCUGCUUUGUUUGGUUGCAGAUUCUUCUUCCUCACAUGGCUGAGUAUGAUAUGUUGCGACCUUCAGUACCUAUCCUGUGUCUUUUAAGGACUUCCUCAGCCAGGGAACACAUUCGUUGGUUUAAGAGUAACUGAUAGUGCCACAUCCUACAGGAGGCAAGGUCGAUGCUGCUCUGCCCAGCAGUACCACUUUCUGUUACAGUGCCUUUGCUGUGGUGCUCUCCGUUCAGCGUUUCCUUAAUUUGGUGCCAACAGAAGCAUGCAGAAUGGUGCCCAACUGUGUACUAGCCAGAGAGCCAAGCUGGAUGGCGUACAGAUUCCCAGGAAGAUGCGGUGUAGUUGUUGAAAGGAUAGGAAUCUCUUGAUUUCUAGAUGAAUGUUGGCAAAAUGUCCGCUUUUGACCCCACUGUAGCUGCAGUCGUUCUCCUUGGCUCUGAGCGUGGUAAAGAGUCUGCAAGAGCUUCCAUCAUCCAUCGAUAGAAGAAUUAAACUUUGCUGCACUCCAGCUAGCUAGGGAAGCAUGCGGGUUGGUUGGCUGUCCUGGCUGGAUUCUUCUGAAGAGCUUCCUUCCAUGCUUCAUGUUCUUCCCUUGUUUGAGUAACUGUGAAGGAGAGGAAUGGGAUGAGAUGCCUCCAAUAUGAAUUUGAUAAUUCUUCUACUUUCCUGUUAGGUUUGAGAGCAGAGCCUUGUGGCUCUGAUCAAAAUGUAUGGCAAACACUUCAUAGGCAGUCCUUGUCCAGAGAGCCUGGCCAUGCAUGCAGAGGGAGGACUGGAGGGGGGAGAGGUACAGUCAGGAGACGUGUCGUGGGGUGCAGCAGGAGAAGGAUGGAGCCAUUGCUGCCAAGUCGGGGCAGUUUUUCAGUUGGCACAAAAAAAUCAGUAAUUUUAACUGAGUAAAUACUAAUUUUGUUUCCAGGACAAAAAGAAUAGUUAGUGUGAAGAAUGUGUAAAUUUCCCGUGUAUUUCUAGUGAAUAUUUAAUAUAAUGCAAUUAGAGGCUGGCUAAGAAUUAUACAGCUUUUAAAAACCAACAAAUAAAUGGACUCCUGUUUUC
ensembl:lncRNA